rnacentral:rRNA from 1 species
GAUGAACGCUAGCUACAGGCUUAACACAUGCAAGUCGAGGGGAAACGACAUCGAAAGCUUGCUUUUGAUGGGCGUCGACCGGCGCACGGGUGAGUAACGCGUAUCCAACCUGCCCAUCACUUGGGGAUAACCUUGCGAAAGUAAGACUAAUACCCAAUGAUAUCUCUAGAAGACAUCUGAAAGAGAUUAAAGAUUUAUCGGUGAUGGAUGGGGAUGCGUCUGAUUAGCUUGUUGGCGGGGUAACGGCCCACCAAGGCAACGAUCAGUAGGGGUUCUGAGAGGAAGGUCCCCCACAUUGGAACUGAGACACGGUCCAAACUCCUACGGGAGGCAGCAGUGAGGAAUAUUGGUCAAUGGGCGAGAGCCUGAACCAGCCAAGUAGCGUGCAGGAAGACGGCCCUAUGGGUUGUAAACUGCUUUUAUAAGGAAAUAAAGUGAGAGUCGUGACUCUUUUUGUAUGUACCUUAUGAAUAAGGACCGGCUAAUUCCGUG